UUCUUUCUCUACAUCUGUUUCAGAGAUGAUGGUGUCUACAGUCUGGGAAGCUGCUGUCCCUGAGGUCCUGGGGAUUGAACUCAGGUAGUCAAGAUUGGCAGCAAGUGCCUUUAUCGGCUGAGCCACCACACUGCUCUCCACCCCAAGCCAGUUGUCAUUUACAAUUACAUAAAAAGAUGUUAUGUGAAGGGAUAAGCAGAGGAAAAAAAAAGGUAUGCAGAAGUUGCUCAAUGAUGGCAACAGCUGCUAUUACGGUUACUGAAGUUCUUACUGUCACAGCAGGAAAGGAGGAGACAUUACCACUGGACUGCCACCAUCUUCAUCCUAAGGCAUCCUGUCAUGAACAACCUUGAUCAACAAUCCCAUGAGGGCCUCAAGUUUCAGUUAUGCUAGCUUGUAAGUCUGAUGGGACUCCAUUCGUGACCUCCUUAGAUGGCUUCUCCUGGAGUUUAGAUUCCAGAUAUGAUUUUCAACCACUGGGGGACAUCUUUUAGUUUCCUAAACUUCAUUUUGCCUGUGCUAGAUGAGAGUUGAACUAUGUGUCAAUCAAAUCUAAGAGGUGGAGCCAUUUGAAUCUCUGAAUGACCCCCUCUGGUGGCUCCUCUCUUUCCUUGCACACACUUCUGACUAACACACACCCAUUUUCUCUGUUGCUCUUUUUGUAAUUAAUAACUCAAUGUGGGGACUACACAAGUAGGAAGCCACUGCUUUUUUGUCUUCCU
ensembl:lincRNA Gm13660 predicted gene 13660